CCCUUAGAUGUUCUGGGCCGCACGCGCGCUACACUGAUGCAUUCAACGAGCACCCGCUGGGCCGAGAGGUCCAGCUAAUCUUUGAACGUGCAUCGUGCUGGGGAUAGAUGAUUGCAAUUAUUCAUCUUCAACGAGGAAUUCCUAGUAAACGCAAGUCAUCAGCUUGCAUUGAUUACGUCCCUGCCCUUUGUACACACCGCCCGUCGCACCUACCGAUUGAAUGGUCCGGUGAAAUUCUCGGACGCGGACUUGCGAUGUUAAUUCGGAGCUUGACUGUGAAAGUUAAUUAAACCUUACCAUUUAGAGGAAGGUGAAGUCGUAACA
rnacentral:rRNA from 1 species